rnacentral:rRNA from 1 species
AGAGUUUGAUCCUGGCUCAGGACGAACGCUGGCGGCGUGCCUAACACAUGCAAGUCGAGCGAUGAAACCCCUUCGGGGGUGGAUUAGCGGCGGACGGGUGAGUAACACGUGGGUAACCUGCCUCAAAGUGGGGGAUAGCCCUCCGAAAGGAGGAUUAAUACCGCAUAAAGUUAAGCUUCCGCAUGGGAGCAUAACCAAAGGAGUAAUCCGCUUUGAGAUGGACCCGCGGUGCAUUAGCUAGUUGGUGAGGUAACGGCUCACCAAGGCCACGAUGCAUAGCCGACCUGAGAGGGUGAUCGGCCACAUUGGAACUGAGAUACGGUCCAGACUCCUACGGGAGGCAGCAGUGGGGAAUAUUGCGCAAUGGGGGAAACCCUGACGCAGCAACGCCGCGUGGGUGAUGAAGGUCUUCGGAUUGUAAAACCCUGUCUUCUGGGACGAUAAUGACGGUACCAGAGGAGGAAGCCACGGCUAACUACGUGCCAGCAGCCGCGGUAAUACGUAGGUGGCGAGCGUUGUCCGGAUUUACUGGGCGUAAAGGAUGCGUAGGCGGAUAUUUAAGUCAGAUGUGAAAUACCCGAGCUUAACUUGGGUGCUGCAUUUGAAACUGGGUAUCUAGAGUGCAGGAGAGGUAAGUGGAAUUCCUAGUGUAGCGGUGAAAUGCGUAGAGAUUAGGAAGAACACCAGUGGCGAAGGCGACUUACUGGACUGUAACUGACGCUGAGGCAUGAAAGCGUGGGUAGCAAACAGGAUUAGAUACCCUGGUAGUCCACGCCGUAAACG